UACGUAGGGUGCGAGCGUUGUCCGGAAUUACUGGGCGUAAAGAGCUCGUAGGUGGCUUCGUAAGUCCGUUGUGAAAGUCAAAGGCUCAACCUUUGAAAGCCGAUGGAUACUGCGGAGCUAGAGUACGGAAGAGGCGAGUGGAAUUCCUGGUGUAGCGGUGGAAUGCGCAGAUAUCAGGAGGAACACCAAUAGCGAAGGCAGCUCGCUGGGACGUUACUGACACUGAGGCGCGAAAGCGUGGGGAGCGAACAGG
rnacentral:rRNA from 1 species